rnacentral:rRNA from 1 species
GACGAAGGGGGCUAGCGUUGUUCGGAAUUACUGGGCGUAAAGCGCGCGUAGGUGGCUCUGUAAGUCCGUUGUGAAAGUCAAAGGCUCAACCUUUGAAUGCCGAUGGAUACUGCAGAGCUAGAGUACGGAAGAGGCGAGUGGAAUUCCUGGUGUAGCGGUGGAAUGCGCAGAUAUCAGGAGGAACACCAAUUGCGAAGGCAGCUCGCUGGGACGUUACUGACGCUGAGACGCGAAAGCGUGGGGAGCAAACAGG